UUUCAUUGAAUGUACUAGUUCAACCAUACUUUGAGAAACAAUAGACAAGAUGAUGAAAGUAACCAGACUGUACUAGUUCGACCCCGAGUAUACCAGUUCAACUGCUGCUCCUGAAACGUUUAGUAUAACCAGUGCCAGGCAAAAUCAAACAAGGAAAAAAUCAUGAGCAGAAUUAGUUCGGUCUAUACAAACUAGUACACCCGAACAGAAUAUGAGAAUAGAACCAUAAUUAGUAUAGCAUGUGCCAUAUGAAAUCCCAAUCGAGACCUUUUGAUACACCCAAAAAUCAAGACGCGAUCAGGAACUUUAAGCAUCUACCUAAGCAAAAUCUAGUAAGAGAAAACAAAUGUCGAAAUCAGAAUCGAAACCAAUUUGACACCUGCCAGAAAUCAGAAUCACGUGCCGGCCGCCGUUCACCUCUCGAAUCAACCUGUACCUAAACCAAAAAUUAAAUCAGAAAACCGAACUAGUUCAAUAGUGAACAGGAAAUACAACAAUCCAACCAUGACCUAGUAUGCCGAGUAAACAAGGAAAUCACAAUAUUGACCUAGCAAACCCAAUACACCGAGAAAUCAGUCAGAAAACUUAACUAGUUCAACCACGAAUAGGUCGAAAUGAUAAUCAAUAUGACAUAACCUGACCAGAAUCAAUAUACAUAACCCGAACUAGUUCAACUCAACAACAAGUACAGCAAGUAAGCCAAAUAUGCUCUCUAGCAAACCAAAUAAAACAAGAAAUACCAAACAACUCAAACUGGUUCAGCGAAAUUCUAUACUACUAGAUAUCCCAAACAAACUAAACUAGUUCAGCGAAUGGGUAGAGAAAACCCACCAGAUACAAGGACUGGAUUUGAAUCACCCUCUUCGCUGCCGGAUUUGAACCCACCAAAUAUGCUCUCUCCGCCACAAAGCCACCGCGUUUGCAACAUUAGGUCGAAAUUUCACGAAGGGGAAACCCAUAUCCGAACUAGUUUUAUUAGGGUGUAGAGAAUGAAGACCAAAAAAUCAAACCUCAAAUCCCGAUGUUGUCAAUUCCGCUGUCGUCGAUGGAGCCUUGAUAAUACAGCAGAUGUCGUUGCUUUCGAGGGAUCAUGAGGCAGAACUUCUGUAAACCGAAUCCCUAUUUGACGCCCUAACUUUCGAAUUAAACAACGCCCUAAUUUGAGUAAAUUACAAUAUUAUCCUUUCAUAAAAUCGAAAUCCAUAUAAGUUGUGUGUAUUGACUAGUUGGGUAUCGGAAAGGAGGUUCCUUUCCUAGCAAAGAAACCUUGUUGACAGAAUACAAAAUCAUUUGUGUUCCCAAGAAGUAGGGGAGUCAAAAGGACUACUUAAAUCCCUACAACCUUAGGAAUCAUUUCUUUAUAAUACCCAAGUUGAGAACUUCGUGCACAACAAUGUUCUAGAGAACUUAGGGGGAUCUUGGAUCGUGACGGAAUCGUGGAUACCACUUUCCGAAAAGAGUAUUUCGACCCUUAUACGCCUUGGGUUACAUGAAAUCUCUCCCGAGGAUAAGACCAUCACCAUUCUUAUUCUUAGGCUUAAGAGAUAAGAGUAAACCCUUGAGAACCUUUGGAGAAAGAUUACUCCAUCACUUGUAUGACCAAAGUGCCUU
rnacentral:lncRNA from 1 species